GUGAGAAUGACUGAGUGGUUAAAAGUGAUCGACUGUAAAUCGAUUGUAUUAUAUACGCAUAGGUUCGAAUCCUAUUUCUCCCA
rnacentral:tRNA from 1 species